rnacentral:lncRNA from 1 species
CCGCUGCCGCCAGGCAGCACUGAUGCGGUCACCCAGUCAGCAGGCUACGCUGCCGGCAGCGCUCCACUGGCCAGAGCGGGGCGGGCCCCCCACUGUGACGGGUGAAGCUGAGACGCGUCUCUGUGACCUGUCCAGGUCACCGUGCAGCCACCUUUCCGUUGCGGGUCAGAACUUCGUGCCCUCCGUCAAGCUGAGGUGUAAGGUCGUACAACCAGAAAGCCAUAGGACUUUCGUCGUCACAGCCACCUAUCGGUCACAGAAGGAAAUACAAUGUCGGCUGCCUGCCGAAAUAUUCCGACGCCUGAGGCACACAGAUGACGUCACGCGGUGGCAAGUUCGGGUAUCAUACGACGGAGACAGGUGGAGUCUUCCCGUGGUAUUCAUUACGUACAACGGUGACUGCCGCCGCUGCCAUCUGGUGGCGAACGCUCUGGCAUGUAGCAGGGUGCAAAG